UACGUAGGCAGCGAGCGUUGUUCGGAGUUACUGGGCGUAAAGGGUGUGUAGGCGGUUCUCUAAGUUUGGUGUGAAUCUCCCGGCUCAACCGGGAGGGUGCGCCGAAACUGGGGACUCGAGUGCGGGAUGGGAGAGUAGAAUUCCUGGUGUAGCGGUGAAAUGCGUAGAUAUCAGGGAGGAAUACCGGUGGUGGUAGACGGCGUCUCUGGACCGCCACUGACGGCUGAGACACGGAAAGCGUGGGGAGCGAACA
rnacentral:rRNA from 1 species